AGCGAACGCUGGCGGCAGGCCUAACACAUGCAAGUCGAACGGAUCCUUCGGGAUUAGUGGCUGACGGGUGAGUAACACGUCGGAACGUUCCCUUUGGUUCGGAACAACUCUGGGAAACUUGAGCUAAUACCGGAUGUGCCCUUCUGGUGAAAGAUUUAUCGCCAUUGGUGCGGCCCGCGUCUGAUUAGCUAGUUGGUGAGGUAACGGCCCACCAAGGCGACGAUCAGUAGCUGGUCUGAGAGGAUGAUCAGCCACACUGGGACUGAGACACGGCCCAGACUACUACGGGAGGCAGCAGUGGGGAAUCUAGCGAAAUGGGCGAAAGCCUGAAGCAGCCAUGCCGCGUGAAUGAUGAAGGUCUUAGGAUUGUAAAAUUCUUUCAGCGGGGACGAUAAUGACGGUACCCGAAGAAGAAGCUCCGGCUAACUUCGUG
rnacentral:rRNA from 1 species